rnacentral:misc_RNA from 1 species
AACUUUUAGCAACGGAUCACUUGGCUCUCGCAUCGAUGAAGAACGCAGCGAAAUGCGAUAAGUUAUGUGCAUUGCAGAAUUCAGUGAAUCAUCGAAUCUUUGAACGCACCUUGCGCCCUUUGGCUAUUCCGCAGGGCAUGCCUGUUUGAGUAUCAUGACCACCUCAACUCCCAUGGUCUACCCGUGAUGAGCUUGGACUUUGGAGGUCUUGCUGGCCAGUGGCCAGCUCCUCUCAAAUGAAUCAGCUUGCCAGUGUUUGGCGGCACCACAGGUGUGAUAACUAUCUACGCUUGUGGUUUCCUGCCAGGUGUCCCUUCAGCAAUGGGGGUUCGCUGGAGCUCAUAAAUGUCUCUCCACAGAGAGGACAACUUCUUGAAUGUUUGAUCUCAAAUCAGGUAGGACUACCCGCUGAACUUAAGCAUAUCAAUAAGCGGAGGCU